CGUUGACGUCAUCAUCACUGCGCCGGUUGUUUCUUGUGUUUGGAGAUCUACACGAUAAAUCUUUUGUUUUUAAAACUGUAUGCGCAGUUUGGGACUAAAUGUGACAUUUCAUAGGGCUUUUAAACUGCUUGACCAUGCUUUGAGACGUUUAAACAUGGUCACAAAAGCUCACACUUAAGACUUAGAUGACAGGCAUUCAACAAGACAUUAUAAAUUUAAAUGAUUUUAACAGAUGCUUUAGGAGAGAGAGAAAAACAACUACCAGUCAGAAGCCAACUCAAUCAGAUUUUGCCAUCUACAGGUCCCCACUCUGCUCCUAGACAUUAAACCUGGCUGAAGAAAACAAACACGGCAACAACCAAAGUGCACAGCCACCUGAUAUGACGCUUGCUGUUUGACCCUGAUGUGAAUUGUUUAGUUUGUAUGUUUUCAUAUCUGAACAUUUACACUUGGUUUUUCCUUCAAAUAAACAUAACUAAUGAUUUAAA